UGCUCGCGGCCUUUCCCAUUUUUUUGGUUUAUUUUGGGAAGGGGGGGGAGGGGUCUCGCCUGAUUUUGGGAUUUUUUUUAGGGAUUAUUUUGGGGGUCUCCUUCUCUGUUUUUGGGGUUAUUUUCGGGGUCUCCUUCUCUGUUUUUGGGGUUCUUUUGGGGGUCUCCUCGCCUAUUUUUGGGAUUUUUUUUGAGAUUUUUUUGGGGGUCCUCUCGGCUAUUUUUGGGAUUUUUUUAGGGAUUAUUUUGGGGGUCUCCUUCUCUGUUUUUGGGAUUAUUUUCGGGGUCUCCUUCUCUGUUUUUGGGGUUAUUUUGGGGGUCUCCUCGCCUAUUUUUGGGAUUUUUUUGGGGGGUCCUCUCAGCUAUUUUUGGGAUUUUUUUAGGGAUUAUUUCGGGGUCUCCUUCUCUGUUUUUGGGGUUAUUUUGGGGGUCUCCUUCUCUAUUUUUGGGGUUGUUUUGGGGGUGUCCUCGCCUAUUUUUGGGAUUUUUUUUGAGAUUUUUUUUUGGGUCCUCUCGGCUAUUUUUGGGAUUUGUUUUUAGGGAUUAUUUUGGGGUCUCCUUCUCUGUUUUUGGGAUUAUUUUCGGGCUCUUCUUCUCUAUUUCUGGGAUUGUUUUGGGGGCUCCCUCGUAGAUUUUUGGUGUUUUUUUGGGGGGCUCCUCUCCCCUUUAUUUAUUUAUUUAUUUAUUUAUUUUAUUUACUUAAAUCUGGGGGUUCCUCUCCCCCUUCCCCUCUGCAAUUUUUGGGGCAAAAAAAAGGAGAAAAACAGAGUGGGGGGAGUUGAAUUUAUUUUCUUUUUAUAACAAGAGGAGGGGGCUUCUAAUUUAUUUUAUUUUUUAGGAAAAAAGUGGGGUCCUUUCUCCUGAUUUUAUUUUUUUUUUUGUUU
rnacentral:lncRNA from 1 species